GACAGAGGGUGCAAACGUUGUUCGGAAUUACUGGGCGUAAAGCGCGUGUAGGCGGCUAUGCAAGUCGGGCGUGAAAGCCCUCGGCUCAACCGAGGAAGUGCACUCGAAACUGCGUAGCUAGAGUCCCGGAGAGGAAGGUGGAAUACUUGGUGUAGAGGUGAAAUUCGUAGAUAUCAAGUGGAACACCUAUGGCGAAGGCAGCUCUCUGGGACGGUACUGACGCUGAGACGCGAAAGCGUGGGGAGCGAACAGG
rnacentral:rRNA from 1 species